AUCGCUUCUUGGCCUUUUGGCUAAGAUCAAUGUGUAGAAUCCAUUCUUAUCAGCUUAAUAUCUGAUACAGUCACUAUUUGGUGCCAUCGAUAUUAAACUGAUUUUUAGAAUGAGACGAAGUGUUAGGGGCUUGCUUCACCUUUGCCACAGGUUGGCCUGGUAUUGCAGUACUUCCAGGAUUCAGCUGAUCUCCC
rfam:Octopus bimaculoides Scaffold188665_contig_1, whole genome shotgun sequence.